rnacentral:rRNA from 1 species
UACGGAGGGUGCAAACGUUGCUCGGAAUCAUUGGGCGUAAAGCGCACGUAGGCGGCCUGUUAAGUCGGGUGUGAAAUCCCUGGGCUCAACCCAGGAAGUGCACUCGAAACUGGCGGGCUUGAAUAUGGAAGAGGGUCGCGGAAUUCCCGGUGUAGAGGUGAAAUUCGUAGAUAUUCGGAAGAACACCAGUGGCGAAGGCGACUACCUGGUCUGGCAUUGACGCUCAUGUGCGAAAGCGUGGGGAGCAAACAGG